rnacentral:rRNA from 1 species
GACGAACGCUGGCGGCGUGCCUAAUACAUGCAAGUAGAACGCUGAAGGAGGAGCUUGCUUCUCUGGAUGAGUUGCGAACGGGUGAGUAACGCGUAGGUAACCUGCCUGGUAGCGGGGGAUAACUAUUGGAAACGAUAGCUAAUACCGCAUAAUAGUAGAUGUUGCAUGACAUUUGCUUAAAAGGUGCAAUUGCAUCACUACCAGAUGGACCUGCGUUGUAUUAGCUAGUUGGUGAGGUAACGGCUCACCAAGGCGACGAUACAUAGCCGACCUGAGAGGGUGAUCGGCCACACUGGGACUGAGACACGGCCCAGACUCCUACGGGAGGCAGCAGUAGGGAAUCUUCGGCAAUGGACGGAAGUCUGACCGAGCAACGCCGCGUGAGUGAAGAAGGUUUUCGGAUCGUAAAGCUCUGUUGUAAGAGAAGAACGAGUGUGAGAGUGGAAAGUUCACACUGUGACGGUAUCUUACCAGAAAGGGACGGCUAACUACAUG